rnacentral:lncRNA from 1 species
AGGGGAUCCAGGUUCGUUUUCCCAUUUUAUUGGCAAGGAAUAUGAAGCCCAAAGUUACACAGACAGGAAGUGGUGAAGCCAGGGCUGAAAGAUUUUGGGAGAGGGAGAGGGAGAGGGAGAGGGAGAGGAGGGAGAGGAGGGAGAGGAGGGAGAGGAGGGAGAGGAGGGAGAGGAGGGAGAGGAGGGAGACUUUCCAACCUGGCUCUCCCGAGGACGGCGGGUCUGGAGAGCAUCACAGAGCCGAGCCCGGGAUGCGCCCGCGAGCCGGGCGGGAUUCAUGCCUUCCGCGGGGCGCUCGGGAUCAGUUGCUGUUGAAGGCGCUCCUCCAAUGAGGUCUCCUCUGCUCCCUGAUUUGGCGGUUCUUCUGAGCAAAUAUGACAGCCUUUUCUUCUCCGGGCUCCUUUCCGCUCCUCCACGUCCAUCCCCAGAGCCUGGCUCUCCUUCUGCGGUUCCUACACCAGAACCUUCACAGCCAGCACCACCACCACCACCACCACCACCACCACCACCACCACCACCACCCAGUCCCAUUCCUGCAAGUACAUGAUUGCUGCAAAGGUGACAUGAACACCUUGCGAGGAGCACAAUGUUGCUUCUAGAUUGCCGAAGAUGCUUAAGAUCAGUUUUUCCAGGUGGGAAAAUGUUAGAAUAAAUCCGCUGUGCUCUGUGACCA